rnacentral:rRNA from 1 species
CCCUUAGAUGUUCUGGGCCGCACGCGCGCUACACUGACGAAUGCAACGAGCUUAUAACCUUGGCCGAAAGGUCUGGGUAAUCUCCAAAUUUCGUCGUGAUGGGGAUAGAUUAUUGCAAUUAUUAAUCUUCAACGAGGAAUGCCUAGUAAGCGCAAGUCAUCAGCUUGCGUUGAUUACGUCCCUGCCCUUUGUACACACCGCCCGUCGCUCCUACCGAUUGUAUGGUCCGGUGAAGCGCUCGGACCGCGGCCUCUUGACGGUUUUCCGUCGAUUGGCUGUGGGAAGUUCGUUAAACCUUAUCAUUUAGAGGAAGGAGAAGUCGUAACA